rnacentral:rRNA from 1 species
UACGUAGGGGGCGAGCGUUAUCCGGAUUUACUGGGCGUGAAGCGCGUGCAGGCGGUUCCGUAAGUUGGUUGUGAAAGUUCGAGGCUCAACCUCGAAACCGCGUCCAAUACUGCGGGGCUGGAGUGCAAGAGAGGCAAGUGGAAUUUCGGGUGUAGUAGUGAAAUGCGUAGAUAUCCGAAGGAACACCAGUGGCGAAGGCGGCUUGCUGGCUUGCAACUGACGCUGAGACGCGAAAGCUAGGGGAGCGAACGGG